GACGAACGCUGGCGGCGUGCUUAACACAUGCAAGUCGAACGGAAAGGCCCUGCUUUUGUGGGGUGCUCGAGUGGCGAACGGGUGAGUAACACGUGAGUAACCUGCCCUUGACUUUGGGAUAACUUCAGGAAACUGGGGCUAAUACCGUAUAGGAGCUCCUGCUGCAUGGUGGGGGUUGGAAAGUUUCGGCGGUUGGGGAUGGACUCGCGGCUUAUCAGCUUGUUGGUGGGGUAGUGGCUUACCAAGGCUUUGACGGGUAGCCGGCCUGAGAGGGUGACCGGCCACAUUGGGACUGAGAUACGGCCCAGAAUCCUACGGGAGGCAGCAGUGGGGAAUAUUGCACAAUGGGCGGAAGCCUGAUGCAGCAACGCCGCGUGCGGGAUGACGGCCUUCGGGUUGUAAACCGCUUUCGCCUGUGACGAAGCGUGAGUGACGGUAAUGGGUAAAGAAGCACCGGCUAACUACGUG
rnacentral:rRNA from 1 species